rnacentral:rRNA from 1 species
UACGGGGGGGGCAAGCGUUGUUCGGAAUUAUUGGGCGUAAAGAGCUCGUAGGCGGUUUGUCGCGUCUGCUGUGAAAACUCGGGGCUUAACCCCGGGCCUGCAGUGGGUACGGGCAGACUAGAGUGCGGUAGGGGAGACUGGAAUUCCUGGUGUAGCGGUGAAAUGCGCAGAUAUCAGGAGGAACACCGGUGGCGAAGGCGGGUCUCUGGGCCGUAACUGACGCUGAGGAGCGAAAGCGUGGGGAGCGAACAGG